AUGACUGCUGAACCCUCGCUCCCGUCAGGCUUCGGCACGAGGCCAUGGCUGGUCCAAGCAACGCCCGAGGAGCGGCAGACGUUAACGUUCGUCGACUCGGCGGACGGGAGCUCGCACAUGGUGAUCGCUCCCGAGAUGCAAGGCAAGACGUGCCUAGGCUGCGUCCACAACGGCGGCUGGCUGCUCAUGCUGGACGACUCCACCGCCGAAUGCUUCCUCCUCCGCCUCACCUCCGACGACUCAGACGACCCUGCAGCCAACAAGAUCCCGCUGCCGCCGCUGUACGAGCCGGUCGAAUCCAUAUUGAAGUGCGCGACUCUCGGGACAUCGCCCGCGCACCAGGACUGCGCCGUUGUGGUCGCCGUUGCACGCGAGAUGGAAGACCGCGUGGAGACGUUCCUGCUUCACUGCCGCCCCGGCGCCUCGCAAGUGGGGGCCUGGCUUGAUGCCCCGGGGCUCACUUUCCCAUGCCUUAUGAUCGGCCAUAGAGGGAAGAUCUACUUCUUAGAGUCCCCCGACACGCUCACCGUGAUAGGCCAAGACGGCGACGGCAUGGUCCAAGCGCAGCUGAUGGGCUCUCUCUGUGGCGGCAAAGAGGAACACGAUAGGACGGUCAUGUACAACAUCUUGGAGUCGUGUGGGGAUCUCUUCGAAGUUCCACACCAUUUUGGGGAUUUUAGCUACGAGGGCACACUCACCAGCAUCACAGUGUCCCGCCUGGAUCUCGAGUCCAUGACGUGGAGCAUGGUGGAUAGCAUCGGUGGCGACCGUGCCUUCCUCGUCUCCGAGCGUUACGGCUUCUCCGUGCCCGUGUGUCCAGGGGAAGGGGGUUUGGUGCAGCAGGGUAACUGUAUGUACAUUGUCUGGUCGAGCUGCGACUGCGAAAGGCUAUACAAGUUCUGCUUGGACGACAACACCAUUAGCUUUCGACAGAUCCUUCCGCAACCUACCAAGCCUUGGUGCAGAGCAUUCUGGGCAGUUCCGCCAUUGCCCAUGUCCAUGGUAGUCAAAGAAAUUGGAUUGUUGGAGGAGGAGGAGGAGCAGGCCACCUAUUGUAAUACACGGCCAUGGCAUGAUCUGCCACUAAAAUUGCUACAACAGGUUGUCUCGAGACUUUCUUUGGUGGAUCGUAUCCGAUUCCAUGCGGUAUGCAAGUCAUGGAGAAUGGUGUCCAACCCAGUUGAGCAAGUCAAUGUGUGGCCUUGGCUCCUGCACUGCUCCGGCCGAACAUAUUUUCCGAUUCUCCAAAGACGGUUGGGUGGCCAUGUCGACCAGUGCAGAUAUCGAGACAUGUACAUCAUAAACCCCUUCAACGAGGACAUUGUGGAGAUGCCCAUUCUCGUGAGGAAAUACUACUUCAUGGGCCUGUCAUGGUCCUCGGCGGACCCGACGUCACCGGAGUGCGUCUUCUUCGGCAUCGUCAGCCGGCACGACGGCAAAAAAAUCAAUAUCCUUAUGUGGCGGCAUGGCGAGGCUGACUGGUUCGAAAGACAUUUUGAGUACUAUGAAGGGGAUCCAUUCCCGGUGGCAUACAACAACCCUGUCUUGUUCUACGACAAAUUUUAUUGCCUCGGGAGGCCAACCUUGGCACGUUUGACCUGGCAAGCGACACAUGGACGAUCUUGGAGAAGUGACCACCACGAGGGGAGAGAGUUUUGCUACCUGAUUGAGCUGCGAGGGGAGCUGGUCUCCGUGUUCAUGCGUAACGCCGACCAGCCACCGCGGGUGUUCAAGCUCAACGAGGAGGAGAUGGCCUGGAUGGAGGUGCAAGAGAUUGGCGGCGCGGCUUUGUUUCUUGAUUUCAGGGUGUCAUACUCCGUGGCAUCACCGGAAGCUGGGCAUGGCAAUAGGAUCUACUUCCCUAGUUAUUCGGAGGAUGGCAAACAAGCGGCGUUCUAUGAUAUUGAGACCAAGGCAUACCACCCAUCCUUGUAUGGUUUGAAGUCACCGUUGCAAUGUGUGUGGGUUGUGCCUAAUCUACGGCCACACAUCGUAUCAAAAUAA
rnacentral:rRNA from 1 species